AGAGUUUGAUCCUGGCUCAGGACGAACGCUGGCGGCGUGCCUAACACAUGCAAGUCGAACGAAGCUUUGAGGAGCUUGCUUUUUAAAGCUUAGUGGCGGACGGGUGAGUAACGCGUGAGCAACCUGCCUCUCAGAGGGGGAUAACGUUUUGAAAAGAACGCUAAUACCGCAUAACAUAUCGGAACCGCAUGAUUCUGAUAUCAAAGGAGCAAUCCGCUGAGAGAUGGGCUCGCGUCCGAUUAGUUAGUUGGUGAGGUAACGGCUCACCAAGACUACGAUCGGUAGCCGGACUGAGAGGUUGAUCGGCCACAUUGGGACUGAGACACGGCCCAGACUCCUACGGGAGGCAGCAGUGGGGGAUAUUGCGCAAUGGGGGAAACCCUGACGCAGCAACGCCGCGUGAAGGAAGAAGGUCUUCGGAUUGUAAACUUCUUUUGUCAGGGACGAAGAAAGUGACGGUACCUGACGAAUAAGCUCCGGCUAACUACGUGCCAGCAGCCGCGGUAAUACGUAGGGAGCGAGCGUUGUCCGGAUUUACUGGGUGUAAAGGGUGCGUAGGCGGCCGAGCAAGUCAGUUGUGAAAACUAUGGGCUUAACCCAUAACGUGCAAUUGAAACUGUCCGGCUUGAGUGAAGUAGAGGUAGGCGGAAUUCCCGGUGUAGCGGUGAAAUGCGUAGAGAUCGGGAGGAACACCAGUGGCGAAGGCGGCCUACUGGGCUUUAACUGACGCUGAGGCACGAAAGCAUGGGUAGCAAACAGGAUUAGAUACCCUGGUAGUCCAUGCCGUAAACGAUGAUUACUAGGUGUGGGGGGACUGACCCCUUCCGUGCCGCAGUUAACACAAUAAGUAAUCCACCUGGGGAGUACGGCCGCAAGGUUG
rnacentral:rRNA from 1 species